rnacentral:rRNA from 1 species
AGCAGCCGCGGUAAUUCCAGCUCCAAUAGCGUAUAUUAAAGUUGUUGCAGUUAAAAAGCUCGUAGUUGAAUUUCGGGAUCAAUAUUUCGGUCAUGCCGUUGGUAUGCACUGUUAUCAUUGAUUUCUCACCUUCUAAAGAACCGUAAUGCCAUUAAUUUGGUGUUACGGGGAAUUAGGACUGUUACCUUGAAAAAUUAGAGUGUUUAAAGCAGGCUCACGCUUGAAUACAUUAGCAUGGAAUAAUGAAAUAGGACAUCCGAUUCUAUUUGUUGGUUUCUAGGAUCGAUGUAAUGAUUAAUAGGGAUAGUUGGGGCAUUAGUAUUCAAUUGUCAGAGGUGAAAUUCUUGGAUUAUUGAAGACUAACUACUGCGAAAGCAUUUGCCAAGGAUGUUUUCAUUAAUCAAGAACGAAAGUUAGGGGAUCGAAGACGAUCAGAUACCGUCGUAGUCUUAACCAUAAACUAUGCCGACUAGGGAUCGGAUGAUGUUAAUUUUUAAUGACU